GACGAACGCUGGCGGCGUGCUUAACACAUGCAAGUCGAACGGUAAGGCCCUUCGGGGUACACGAGUGGCGAACGGGUGAGUAACACGUGGGUGAUCUGCCCUGCACUUCGGGAUAAGCAUGGGAAACUGGGUCUAAUACCGGAUAGGACUCCGGACUGCAUGGUCUGGGGUGGAAAGCUUUUGCGGUGUGGGAUGGGCCCGCGGCCUUUCAGCUUGUUGGUGGGGUGAUGGCCUAGCAAGGCGACGACGGGUAGCCGGCAUGAGAGGGUGACGGGCCACACUAGGACUGGUAUGCGGCCCAGGCUCCUACGGGAGGCAGCGGUGUGGAAUAUUGCAGAGUGGGCGCAAGCCUGAUGCAGCGACGCCGGGUGAGGUAUGACGGCCUUCGGGUUGUAAACCUCUUUCAGCAUCGACGAAGCGAAAGUGACGUUAGGUGCAGAAGAAGGACCGGCCAACUACGUGCCAGCCGCCGCGGUAA
rnacentral:rRNA from 1 species